AGCCAUCCAACACAAAAUUUGGAACAUACUUCAUUGGAGAAGUGAAAAAUGGUAUUUUAGUAUCCCAUAUAUCCACUGUUUUGAGCAGAAGCAGAAGGGGGGUUUACAUUACCACCAAAUUCUUAUUAAAUUUUGUAUCUAACACCCUAUACUUCGGUAUUUACAGACAUACUACCCAAUCCUUGCCAAGUCUCUUGUCCACCGCUCUCCUUUCGCUUCUGUCAACCGUUCCGACUUUACAAGGACUUUCCGGCAAGCUCGCAAGGCAACGGCAGGAUGUCGGCCUACAGUGUUAUGCAAGGCUGCAUCCACGAGCUAUUAAUUGCAAGAAGAAAAAGUGUGGACAUAGCAACCAGCUGAGGCCUAAGAAGAAGAUCAAGUAAACAAUGUUUCAGUCCUAAAAGUAUUUCUCAUUUGCUGCUUUCAACUGGAUGUUAAUUAUAUUUUUAUGUCCCUGACUGUUUUAUUGGAGCACUGGCUUUGUUGCC